UGUGAACUGUAUGACAGAGGAGGCUCCUUCAUUGAGGAAAGGGAGGAACACCCUCCCUAAAAUUUCAGAGAAAAAUACAAAAUAUAUAAAGUGAAUUACUAAUCUGAUAAAUUACUGUUAAUAUUACUAUUUUUAACACUUUGAAUGAACAAAAUUGUUCCCCUAGGUCAAAAUGCCAACAGCACCCCCUAUCGCAAUUGAAAAUUACUGUAUGGAGGAGCUUCCUCCUCAAGCCCCUCAUUGAAGUCCAUUAUAAGCGCCUCGGACCCCA